rnacentral:misc_RNA from 1 species
AAUUCUCAACCUUACCAGCUUUUGUUGGUAAUGGCUUGGAUGUGGGGGUCUUUUGCUGGCUUCGUAAAGAGGUCUGCUCCCCUUAAAUGCAUUAGCCGGUGCCCUGCGUGGAUUCGUCUAUUGGUGUGAUAAUUAUCUACGCCGUGGACGUCUGCUUUAAAUGGGACGCACUGCUUCUAACCGUCCGUUCAGUUGGACAAUCAAUGACA